ACCCGUCCAGGGGCUGAAAUACCGAAACGAUGGCCUCCAUCCUGAAAACGAGCAGAAGAAAUGUUCAGGAAACAGAAAAGAGUGUGUUAAUAUAGAUCUGGACUCAACUGGCUUUCAAAAAGCAGCUCAAAUGUGAAUUAGUGAUAGAAGCGUGAAAACAACUGAAGUUGAUGAGAGCGUAAGAACAGAGGAAGAAGUUGGAGAUCAGAGGAGCGAUUACAUUCAGCUCAGCUGUGGAGAUAUGGAAAAUGAUUUGUACAAUAAACAUACAGAAAGCACACAGUAUAAAAUGUUAGCUGACAACAUCAUGAUUACAUGAAUGAAGCACAUGGCAAUGAUGUAACACAGCAGAUACGCUCGCAGUGGCUCGUUGUUUUUCCCAUAACCCUUUGCAAAGAAGCCGAUGUACGGGUAGAUGUUGUCUUUGCAGAGACACUGUCCCAAGAGGAGAGUAUGCCAUUUUACCUGGAAGACUUUGGGUGCGGAGACGAGGAACGCAAGGGCAGAUGACAGGGUGGCCGCAAAUAUGCCUGCAUAGAUCAACGG